rnacentral:misc_RNA from 1 species
AAAAGAUUUUUGCAAGAAUUUUUCAUAUAAUUAUGGGAGAAGUGAAGGUGAUUGGCAGUUCUGCAAGCUUAUUCUGCACAAGAAUUGAAUGGGCUUUGAAGCUUAAAGGUGUGGAAUAUGCGUACUUACAUGAAGAUUUAUUGAACAAGGGUCCUGUUCUCCUCAAAUACAAUCCUGUUCACAAGAAGGUCCCUGUGCUUGUUCAUAAUGGCAAACCGAUUGCAGAGUCGCUUGUCAUCCUUGAGUAUAUUGAUGAGACAUGGAAACACAAUCCUUUGCUUCCUCAAGAUCCCUAUGAUAGAGCCACAGCUCGUUUCUGGGCCAAAUUUGCCGAUGAGAAGUGUUUGAUUGGUGCAUUUGAGUCUUUUUGGAAAGAAGGAGAACAAAAGGAGAAAGCUAUAGAAUCUGCACUUGAAUCAUUUGCAUUUCUUGAGGAACAAAUAAAAGGGAAGAAAUUUUUCAGCGGAGAGCAAAUAGGCUAUUUGGAUCUUGCAAUGGGUUGGAUCCCUCAUUGGCUGAAUGUUAUGGAAGAAGUUGGUGGCAUGAAAUUGGUUGAUGCUGAGAAGUUUCCAGCACUCCAUCAAUGGACUCACAGCUUCAUUGAAAUUCCAAUAAUCAAACAAAUCCUUCCACCAAGAGAUCUGAUUGUCAACUACCUCACUGCUAGUCUCAGCUACAUGCGUUCCUUGGCAGCCAACAAGCAGUAGUUUUGGCAUUGCUUCUUUAAUUAAUCAAAUUUAGCUGCUUGUAAUAUGAAGAUUUAAGAAUAACUUGGGCUUUUUCUGAGCCUUGUAGUUUUGGUGUGUAUCUUUCUGAGAUAAAACAAUUGAAUAAAAACGGA